ACUGCUCAGUAACACGUGGACAACCUGCCCUUAGGUUGGGUAUAAACCCGGGAAACUGGGUAUAAUACCCGAUAGGUCUCGAUUGCUGGAAUGCAUCGAGAUUUAAAGCUCCGGCGCCUAAGGAUGGGUCUGCGGCCUAUCAGGUAGUAGUGGGUGUAGCGUACCUACUAGCCUACGACGGGUACGGGUUGUGAGAGCAAGAGCCCGGAGAUGGAUUCUGAGACACGAAUCCAGGCCCUACGGGGUGCAGCAGGCGCGAAAACUUUACAAUGCUGGCAACAGCGAUAAGGGAACCUCGAGUGCCAGGUUACAAAUCUGGCUGUCGAGAUGCCUAAAAAGCAUUUCAUAGCAAGGGCCGGGCAAGACCGGUGCCAGCCGCCGCGGUAACACCGGCGGCUCGAGUGGUAACCGUUAUUAUUGGGUCUAAAGGGUCUGUAGCCGGCCGGAUAAGUCUCUUGAGAAAUCUGGCAGCUUAACUGUCAGGCUUUCAGGAGAUACUGUCUGGCUCGAGGCCGGGAGAGGUGAGAGGUACUUCAGGGGUAGGGGUGAAAUCUUGUAAUCCUUGAAGGACCACCAGUGGCGAAGGCGUCUCACCAGAACGGACCUGACGGCAAGGGACGAAAGCUAGGGGCACGAACCGGAUUAGAUACCCGGGUAGUCCUAGCCGUAAACGAUACUCGCUAGGUGUCGGCCACGGUGCGACCGUUGUCGGUGCCGUAGGGAAGCCGUGAAGCGAGCCACCUGGGAAGUACGGCCGCAAGGCUGAAACUUAAAGGAAUUGGCGGGGGAGCACCACAACGGGUGGAGCUUGCGGUUUAAUUGGAUUCAACGCCGGAAAUCUUACCGGGACCGACAGCAAUAUGAAGGCCAGGCUGAAGACUUUGCCGGAUUAGCUGAGAGGUGGUGCAUGGCCGUCGUCAGUUCGUACUGUGAAGCAUCCUGUUAAGUCAGGCAACGAGCGAGACCCCUGCC
rnacentral:rRNA from 1 species